rnacentral:rRNA from 1 species
GACGAACGCUGGCGGCGUGCCUAAUACAUGCAAGUCGAGCGCAGGAAACUGACGGAACUCUUCGGAGGGAAGGCAGUGGAAUGAGCGGCGGACGGGUGAGUAACACGUAAGGAACCUGCCUCAAGGAUUGGGAUAACUCCGAGAAAUCGGAGCUAAUACCGGAUAGUUCAUCGGACCGCAUGGUCCGUUGAUGAAAGGCGCUUCGGCGUCCCCUUGAGAUGGCCUUGCGGUGCAUUAGCUAGUUGGUGGGGUAACGGCCCACCAAGGCGACGAUGCAUAGCCGACCUGAGAGGGUGAUCGGCCACACUGGGACUGAGACACGGCCCAGACUCCUACGGGAGGCAGCAGUAGGGAAUCUUCCACAAUGGACGAAAGUCUGAUGGAGCAACGCCGCGUGAGUGAUGAAGGUUUUCGGAUCGUAAAACUCUGUUGUAAGGGAAGAACACGUACGAGAGGGAAUGCUCGUACCUUGACGGUACCUUACGAGAAAGCCACGGCUAACUACGUGCCAGCAGCCGCCGUAAAAC